CAGCCUGAGCAACAUACUUGCCCAGUUGUUUGUGUGAGAUUCCAUCUCUACGAAAACAAACAAAAACACGAGUUGCGCAUGGUGGUGUAUACCUGUAAUCCCAGGUACUCAGGAGGCUGAGGUGGGAGGCUCGCCUGAGCCUAGGAAGUCGAGGCUGUAAUCACACCACUGCACUCCAGCCUGGGCAACAGAGCAAGAGACCCUGUCUCAGCACAAACAAAAAUAAAAGUCACAAAACAAAAAAUGUAAUUAAAUCCAGAUGUAAGGGCUUCUAGGGCUGACCCCUGGGCUCAAGUAUGAGCUGUAGCCAGGCACUGUCCAUCCUUUAACUCAGCCUCCCCAGUGUAUGGCCUUGGUUUUUUCGGAGGCACACAUCUUUGCAGUCUUAAGAUGGUGAUUGCAGUUCCAAGUCUAGCAUGUAGCCAUGCAACAUUUGGCUAAAGAAGGUGGCAUCAGGAAGUGUAUUUGUUUUCUAUUGCCACUGUAACAAAUUACCAAAACUUUGUGUCUUAAAACAACAACAAAUUUGUUGGCUCACAGCUCUGGAAGUCAGAAGUCCAAAAUGGGUCUUACUAGGCUAAAAUGUCAGCAGGACUGUGGUCCUUCUGGGGGGUCUAGGAGAGAAUCCAUUUAUUGGCUUUUUCCAGCUUCUAGAGACUACCUGCACUCCUUGGCUUAUGGCCCCUUCCUGCAUUUUUAAAGGCAGCAGUGUAGCUUCUUCAAAUCUCUCAUUCCAUUAUCACAUCAUCUACUCUGAUUCCUGCUUCAAGUUAUACAAAGACAUUUGAUUAAAUAGGGCCCAUCCCAAGUAAUCCAGAAUAAUCUACCCAUCUCAAGAAUCUGGCCAGGCAUGGUGGCUCAUACCUGUAAUCCCAACAAUUUGGGAGGCUGAGGCAGGAAGAUCGCUUGGGCCAAGGAGUUCGAGACCGGUCUGGGCAACAGAGCAAGACCCCUGUCUUAACAACAACAACAAAAGUAGCUGGGUGUGGUGGCAUGCACCUGUGGACCCAGCUACUCAGGAAGCUGAGGCAGGAAUAUCGCUUGAGCCCAGGAGUUCCAGGCUACAGUGAGCCAUGAUCACACCACUGCACUCCAGCCUGGAUGACAGAGACCCUGUCCCUAAAACAAACAAAAACAGAUCCUUAGUGGCAUCUUCAAUGUCCCCUUUGCCAUGUGAAGGUAACAUAUGUAUAGGUUCCAGGGUUUGGAAUGUGGACAUCUCUGAAGGAAAGGGGGCAUUACUCUCCCUACCACAAAGAAGUAAUACAACAUUUUGGCUGCGCGCAGCAGCUCAUGCCUGUAAUCCCAGCACUUUGGGAGGCUGAGACAGGUGGAUCACAAGGUCAGGCAUUCAAGACCAGCCCGGUCAACACGGUGAAACCCCGUCUCUACUAAAAAUACAA
rnacentral:lncRNA from 1 species